rnacentral:rRNA from 1 species
CCUACGGGUGGCUGCAGUGGGGAAUAUUGGACAAUGGGCGAAAGCCUGAUCCAGCCAUGCCGCGUGUGUGAAGAAGGCCUUCGGGUUGUAAAGCACUUUCAGUGGGGAAGAAAGCCUUGGGGCUAAUACCCUCGAGGAAGGACAUCACCCACAGAAGAAGCACCGGCUAACUCCGUGCCAGCAGCCGCGGUAAUACGGAGGGUGCGAGCGUUAAUCGGAAUUACUGGGCGUAAAGCGCGCGUAGGCGGUCUGAUAAGCCGGUUGUGAAAGCCCCGGGCUCAACCUGGGAACGGCAUCCGGAACUGUCAGGCUAGAGUGCAGGAGAGGAAGGUAGAAUUCCCGGGUUAGCGGUGAAAUGCGUAGAGAUCGGGAGGAAUACCAGUGGCGAAGGCGGCCUCCUGGACUGACACUGACGCUGAGGUGCGAAAGCGUGGGUAGCAAACAGGAUUAGAUACCCGGGUAGUC